CCGGGGGUCGUGUCGCGCCGGGCCGGGAUGGAGGCGGCCGCGGCGCCGAGGAGGGAUGUGCGGGGACGUGCCGUGUGUCCGCCCGACGGCUGCCGAGAGGAGAGCUCGCCUGAGAGGAAAGUUUAUAUGGACUAUAAUGCAACCACUCCCCUGGAGCCAGAGGUCAUCCAGGCCAUCGCAGAGGCCAUGCGGGAAGCCUGGGGAAAUCCCAGCAGUUCUUAUCUGGCAGGAGAAAGGCCAAG